rnacentral:rRNA from 1 species
UACGAAGGGGGCUAGCGUUGUUCGGAAUCACUGGGCGUAAAGCGCUCGUAGGCGGAUCUUUAAGUCAGGGGUGAAAUCCCGAGGCUCAACCUCGGAACUGCCUUUGAUACUGGGGAUCUCGAGUCCGGGAGAGGUGAGUGGAACUGCGAGUGUAGAGGUGAAAUUCGUAGAUAUUCGCAAGAACACCAGUGGCGAAGGCGGCUCGCUGGCCCGGUACUGACGCUGAGGAGCGAAAGCGUGGGGAGCAAAC